rnacentral:rRNA from 1 species
CCUACGGGAGGCAGCAGUGGGGAAUAUUGGACAAUGGGGGGAACCCUGAUCCAGCCAUGCCGCGUGUGUGAAGAAGGCCCUCGGGUUGGAAAGCACUUUCAGUGAGGAAGAACGCCUGGUGGUUAAUACCCAUCAGGAAAGACAUCACUCACAGAAGAAGCACCGGCUAACUCCGUGCCAGCAGCCGCGGUAAUACGGAGGGUGCGAGCGUUAAUCGGAAUUACUGGGCGUAAAGCGCGCGUAGGUGGCUUGAUAAGCCGGUUGUGAAAGCCCCGGGCUCAACCUGGGAACGGCAUCCGGAACUGUCAAGCUAGAGUGCAGGAGAGGAAGGUAGAAUUCCCGGUGUAGCGGUGACAUGCGUAGAGAUCGGGAGGAAUACCAGUGGCGAAGGCGGCUUUCUGGACUGAAACUGACACUGAGGUGCGAAAGCGUGGGUAGCAAACAGGAUUAGAUACCCCGGUAGUC